UACUUGGGGAAGACUUUGCUCCUCCCUGGGCCUUAGUUUCCCCAUCUGUAACAAGGAUAAAAUAGACCCUGCCUCAGAGGAAUAAAUGGGACGUGGUAACGAAAGCCUGGUACAUGAUAAGUGCCUCAUUCAUUUAUUCCUUUAUUCAUUUGUCACUUCAUUCAUUCAUUCAUUGGUUCCUUUGCAGAUAUGCACUGAGAGUUGGCCCUGUGCCAGGCAUAAAUGGCUCACUGAGGUGGUGCGAGGGGCCUUUAAGGUUAUGAACCCGAAUAAGCGGAGACCAUGACCACCAGGGAGGUAGAGUCUGGCUUGUCCCUAUCAUAUAGAUGAGGAAACCAAGGUUGGGUGUGGGAGAAAGUCUACUGGGGGGGUCACGCUUCCAUGAGGACCAACGAGCUGUCAUCUCAGGGCCCUUCUCUGGGGGACCCAGGAGGACUUUGACCUCUGGAGGUUCUGGUCUCUGGGUUCAAGUCUCAGCUCAGCCUCCAACUUUCUGGGCAAUCACGCAUCUCAAACUUGGUUCCCUUCUCCAUAAGCUGGUGGAAUCUGAAAUCCUGGGGGUUGAAAGAAACAGCGUCAGAGGCCGGGCAUGAUGGCUUAUGCCUGUAAUCCCAGCACUUUGGGAGGCUGAAGUGGGAGGAUCAUUUGAGUCCCAGAAUUCGAGACUACCCUGAGCAACAUAGUGAGAUCUUGUCUGUAUGAAAAAUACAAAUAUUAGCGAGGCGUGGUGGCACAUGCCUGUAAUCCCAGCUACUCAGGAGGCUGAAGUGGGAGGAUCGCUUGAGCGUGGAAGUUCGAGGCUGCAAUGAGCUGUGGUCGAGAACUGCACAGCACUCCAGCCUGGGCAGCACAGCAAGACCCCGUCUCCAAAAAAAAAAAAAAAAAAAAAAAAAGGGCUUUUGAGCGCUUCUCGCCAGCCUCUGCUGCUCCCUGGUGGCCUCCUCUGGCCUACCCUCUGCCCUGGCCGCUCCAGCUGGGUCCAGCGUUUCUCAACGCGUCCCCACGUAACCCCCGGACAGUCCUCUUGCUCCCUCUCUGCUGUGCAGGGUGGACCUGUCCCUCCCCCGGGGCUGUGACACUGCGGCGGCUACGCGGGCACCUGUUGCCGGCUGGAGCGUACCUCCUGCCCUCGCCAGGAGAGUGGGUUAGGCACCUAGUUCUUUCUCCUUCCACCCUGGUCAGGCAUCCUCCUGGAAACCCCGUUGGAAAAGGGGAGAUCCGGCCGGGUGCGGUGUCUCACUCCUGUAAUCCCAGCACUUUGGGGGGCCGAGGCGGACGGGUCUCUUGAGAUCCGUUCAAGACCAGUCUGGCCAACAUGGUGAAACCCCGUCUCUACUAAAAAUACAAGAAUUAGCCGGGCGUGGUGGCGGCCGCCUGUAAUCCCAGCUACUUGGGAGGCUGAGGCGGGAGAAUCGCUUGAGCCCGGGAGGCGGAGGUUGCAGUGAGCCGAGAUCGUGCCACUGCACUCCAGCCUGGCGACAGAGCGAGACUGUCUCAAUCAAUCAAUCAAUCAAUCAAUGGGAGAUCCGAGCGGGAUCCCCUACUUGCAAAGCCCUGCCGACCAAUGUAAACAUAUGCAAAUUGUGCAAAUACAUGUAAAUGGACCCCUUCUCUCCAGGGAAGUUCUGGGAAGGCAUAGCUUCUCUUCUUCCCACCGUGGGGUCCAGGCUGCGGCCAGAGGCCUGGGCUGAGGCCGGUUCAUUGAGUGCAUACUGUGUGCAGGGCCCUCCGGCAGGUGCUGGGGACACAGCAUGAUCCAGGUGGACCCACCCCAGGGUGGUGAUGGCCCUGACCUCACCAGCAGAUAAAUACUGAUUUCAGCUGGGCACUGUGGCUCACACUUAUAAUCCCAGCACUUUGGGAGGCUGAGGUGGGAGGAUCGCCAGAGCCCGGGAGGUCAAGGCUGCAGUGAGCAGUGAUCACACCAGUGAAUUCCAGCCUGGAUACAGGUUGAGCAGAGACAGACAAUCACGGGGUAUCUUCUGGGCCUCCGGAAGGGGUGUGGAUUUUGUUCUGAGGGUGCUGGGGAACUGUAGGAGAGUUUGGAGCAGGUGAGGAGUCUGAUGAGAUUUCUAGAUUCUGAAAAAUGGGUCAUAUCCAAGUGGCGGGAGUGGGGUGGCUGCCGAGUGGGGGGAGGGGGGUGGAUUUGGAAAGCACUUUGGAAUUCCUAAGGAGGCCUGGAGUGAAGGCCCCUGCAGAGUGUGCAGGACCAUCUCCUGCCCUAGCGGAGGGAAUUGUGAGCCUGGAGAGGAAAAGCAGCAGAGUGGGGAGAAUCAGGUCACACCUUCCUUGACUGUGAUUCCAAUGACAGAAGCGGGCAGCAGGACCCCAGGAUGUGAGUUAGGAAGGGCCCAAGGCCGCGGCAGACAAUGUGAGCAGAAUGUGCAGGAAUGGGAGAGUGGUGGCAGUGUCGGGGCGCUGUCCCCUGCCCCUUGGUUCCCUGGGAGAUGCAGCAGGGGUUGGGGUGAGAAGUUGUGAGCUGCUGUGACUGCAGCACGACCUGCUGGGUGGCCCUGGACAUCAAUUCCCCUUCUGUGAGCUAGGAGUGACAGUGGGAUUUGAACCCACGCCAUGGGGAGCCAGAAUCUGUCCUUGAACUUCAACUCUGCACUCAACAAGUGCAAAAAGGCCAGUUUCGGUGGCUCAUGCCUGUAAUCUCAGCACUUUGGGAGGCCAAGCCAGGAAGAUGGCUGGAGGCUAGGAGUUGGAGACCAGCCUGAACAAUAUAGUGAGACCCCAACUCUACAAUUUUGUUUGUUUGUUUGUUUGUUGUAUUUUUAGUAGAGAAGGGGUUUCACCAUGUUGGCCAGGCUGGUCUCGAACUCCUGACCUCACAUGAUCCACCCACCUCUGCCUCCCAAAGUGCUAGGACUACAGGUGUGAGCCACCAUGCCCAGCCAAAAAUUUUUAAAAGUUAGCCGAGUUUGGUGGUGUGCACCUGUGGUCCCAGCUACUUAGGAGGCUGAAGCAGAAGGAUUGGUUGAGCUGGGGAGGUUGAGGCUGCAGUGAGCGGUGAUUGCGCCACUGCACUUUAGCCUGGGCGACAGAAGAAGACCCUGUCUCUAAAAAAAUAAAUAAAUGCAAACUAUUCUUCCUUGUUGCUGCUGCUGUCUGUAAGAUUCCACAAUUCGACUGGGCACGGUGCUCACGCUUGUAAUCCCAACACUUUUGGAGGCCCAGGCAGGUGGAUCAUCUGAAGUCAGGAGUUCAAGCCCACCCUGGCCAACAUGAAGAAACCCCGUGUCUACUAAAAACACAAAAAACUAGCCAGGCAUGGUGGCAGGCAUGUGUAAUCCCAGCUACUCGGGAGGCUGAAGCAGGAGAAUCGCUUGAACCCAAGAGGCAGAGGUUGCAGUAAGCUAAGAUCAUGCCAUUGCACUCCAACCUGGGCAGCAAGAGUGAAACUCCAUCUCAAAAAAAAAAAAAAAAAAAAAAAGAUUCCAUAAUUCUAAGUCCUGAGACUCAACUGUGAGUCUCAGAUUCUGUGAUUCUCAUAUAGUCUCUCUUGGUUGCAGGAACUGGGGCUGGGGUCUCUUGGGGUCCCUACUCGUCUGUCCUGCUUUGGCACUGCCUUUGUCCCCACUGGUUCUGACUCAGGAGCAGAA
rnacentral:lncRNA from 1 species